rnacentral:sRNA from 1 species
GAUGAUUAUAUAAUAUAUAUCUAGAUAUCAAUCUGAUGAUAUGAUUGAUGGAGAUAUUACCUCUAUCUACCAGCUACUUGCUGCCAAUCUUGCUAAGCUCUCCCUCGCUGCUAAGCUCUCCCUCGCUACUAAGCUAUCUAUCGCUGCUAAUCUAUCACUGCUAAUCUAUCGCUGCUAAUCUAUCGCUGCCAACCUAUCUACCGCGGCGAAUCUAUCUAUCGCUGCCAAUUUAUCUACCACUGCCAAUCUAUCUAUCGCUGCUAAUAUAUCGCUGCUGCCAACCUAUCUAUCACUGCUAAUCUAUCGCUGCUAAUCUAUCGCUGCCAACCUAUCUACUGCAGUGAAUCUAUCUAUCACUAUCAUUAUUAGUUCAAAAUAGAACUAGAGCAUAAACACACUAAACUUAUUUUGAUAGAUAAUGAUUUUUGGUAACACUCAUAGCAUUAUAUCAUCUAUAUAGGGUAAAUCAUGGUCCCAUCAGAAUCAGUAAUUUAUAAGAAGAACAUGACCUGGGACUAGAUUUAUAAUAUAAACAGUGUAAAGUGACUAAUUUAAUAAACACUAUAUGGGACC